rnacentral:misc_RNA from 1 species
CAGAGUUGAAAAACUCCAAAACCAUUGUGAAUUUACCUGUCCUUGUUGCUUCGGUAGGCGGUUCCUGGGAGGGACCUGUGGCCUCUCGUAGGUGCCUACCGAACGUACCAAAACUCUGUUACAGCGGUGUUAAUCUUCUGAGUCUACCAAAAAAAUAAACAUUA